AGUGAACGCUGGCGGUAGGCCUAACACAUGCAAGUCGAACGGCAGCACCGUAAGAGCUUGCUCUUACGGGUGGCGAGUGGCGGACGGGUGAGGAAUACAUCGGAAUCUACUUUUUCGUGGGGGCUAACGUAGGGAAACUUACGCUAAUACCACAUACGACCUACGGGUGAAAGCAGGGGAUCUUCGGACCUUGCGCGAUUGAAUGAGCCGAUGUCGGAUUAGCUAGUUGGCGGGGUAAAGGCCCACCAAGGCGACGAUCCGUAGCUGGUCUGAGAGGAUGAUCAGCCAGACUGGAACUGAGACACGGCCCAGACUCCUACGGGAGGCAGCAGUGGGGAAUAUUGGACAAUGGGCGCAAGCCUGAUCCAGCCAUACCGCGUGAGUGAAGAAGGCCUUCGGGUUGUAAAGCCCUUUUGGUGGGAAAGAAAAGCAGCAGGUUAAUACCCCGCUGUUCUGACGGUACCCAAAGAAUAAGCACCGGCUAACUUCGUG
rnacentral:rRNA from 1 species